rnacentral:tRNA from 1 species
UAGUCGUCCGGCCCGGUGGCCGAGGCGGCGAGCUGGCGGCUCGCCAUGAUGACGGGCGUCCCGCCGGCCGCCUCGAUGACGGCGAGC